GUUUAAGAAGGGGUAAGGAGCGUCUCGCCAUGGGUUCGGGUCGGGUUUAGGGAGGGGUUUUUGGUAUUGAAUGAUUACUCAGAGGUGCAGAUUGGCAUAAAUGUGUCGAGGGAAUUAAAUUAAGGAGGAGGAGAGAGGUUGGCUCAGAUUUUCUUCUUCUUCGGAACGGAGUCCUGGUAACUAAUGCGUCGGGUAAAUUACUGCCUUUUUUAUUUUAAAAUUUUCGAUUAUAUACGUAGUUUUUUUUUAGUUAACUGUAAUAAAAAAUAAAUAAAUAAAUAAAUUCACCCUACUUGUAGUGGGGUUUUUGUUUUAGAA